rnacentral:misc_RNA from 1 species
AAGUCGUAACAAGGUUUCCGUAGGUGAACCUGCGGAAGGAUCAUCAAUGAAAAUUUUAUUUUUUAAAAAAAAACUAGUAUACUAUGUUCUAUAGUAGCUUUGUUUUUUUUUUCCCAGUUGCUUUAUUUACUCAAGUAAAUGAAGAAAAAACAAACAUUUCUAGUAUAAGUGGGCGGCACUUAGACCAGAAAAAUUAUUUUUUACUAUAAAAAAACCGACCAAAAAAACAACUUUCGGCAACGGAUCUCUCGGCUCUCC